GCCGCUCUGAGUCCCCUUCGGGGUGCGAAAGAAGGGCGGCAUAUAAAUUUAGCAAAUAAAUAAAUAAGUUUUGGAUGGCCAUCUGUCGGGAGGGAUCGGAUGGUGUCUUCCUGACUGGCGGAAAGAACGGGGUCAGACUGGAUGGCCUUUGGGGCUCCCUUCCAACUCUAGGAUUAUGUUGUUGUUGUUGUUGUUGUUACUAUUAUUAUUACAGAGACUAGGUGGCCCUUGGGGUAUAGGAUUCGGUUAUUACUAUUAUAAUUAGAAUAAUGAGGUCUCUUCCAACUCUACUAUUCUGUGAUUCUGUGGAUGGACAUCUGUCGGGAGGGAUCGGAGCACGUGGGGAGAUUUAAUGCAAAUUCAAUGUCAUGAGAGCCAGCGGCCACAAGAGGGCGCUGCUGCUGCUUCCUCCUGCUCUUCACCGCCACCUUCUGGCCACAAGGAGGAAAUGUCACAAUAUUUAGAAAAAUCAUCCUCGUAUUAAUAUUAAUUAUCCUCUUUCCUUACUUUUUAGUGGGUGUUGAGCGGCGCUGACCUGGAAGCUGGAGGUGGGCUCCAUGUAUCCGGAAUCCACCACGGACUCUCCGGCUAGAUUCUCCAACAGGCAGACGGGAUCCCCAGGCAUGAUCUACAGAAACCUCGGCAAGUCGGGACUGAGGGUGUCCUGCCUCGGACUAGGUAAAGCCCCAAAGGAUAGAGACAUCCAUAGAUCCACAGAGCAAUACAUUCUGUAACUGUGCUUGCUUCUCUGCACACACACACACACACAUAUAUAUAUAUAUAAGUAUAAAGGUUUAUAUAUAAAUAUACAUAUAUUUAUUUAUAUAUAUGAUUUUUUUCUAUAUAAAUAUAUAUAUAU
rnacentral:lncRNA from 11 species